rnacentral:rRNA from 1 species
AGAAUCAACGCUGGCGGCGUGCCUAACACAUGCAAGUCGCACGAGAAAGGGGAGCAAUCCCUGAGUACAGUGGCGCGCGGGUGAGUAACACGUGAAUAAUCUACCUCCGAGUGGGGAAUAACUGAGAGAAAUCUUAGCUAAUACCGCAUAACACUUACGAGUCAAAGCAGCAAUGCGCUUGGAGAGGAGUUCGCGGCCGAUUAGUUAGUUGGCGGGGUAAUGGCCCACCAAGACGAUGAUCGGUA